UACGAGGGGGGGCGAGCGUUGUUCGGAAUUAUUGGGCGUAAAGGGCGCGUAGGCGGUCGGAUAAGUCUUGUGUGAAAUCUUCGGGCUCAACUCGAAGUCUGCACAGGAAACUAUCUGGCUUGAGUGUGGGAGAGGUGAGUGGAAUUCCUGGUGUAGCGGUGAAAUGCGUAGAUAUCAGGAGGAACACCUGUGGCGAAAGCGGCUCACUGGACCACAACUGACGCUGAGGCGCGAAAGCUAGGGGGAGCAAACAGG
rnacentral:rRNA from 1 species